rnacentral:rRNA from 1 species
UACAAAGGAAGUUGACGGGGACCCGCGACAAGCGGUGGAUGAUGUGGAUUAAUUCGAUGCAACGCGAAAAACCUUACCUACCCUUGACAUGUCUGGAACCCUGCUGAAAGGUGGGGGUGCUCGAAAGAGAGCCAGAACACAGGUGCUGCAUGGCUGUCGUCAGCUCGUGUCGUGAGAUGUUGGGUUAAGUCCCGCAACGAGCGCAACCCUUGUCAUUAGUUGCUACGAAAGGGCACUCUAAUGAGACUGCCGGUGACAAACCGGAGGAAGGUGGGGAUGACGUCAAGUCCGCAUGGCCUUUAUGUCCGGGGCUACACACACGCUACAAUGGUCGGUACAAUGGGUUGCUAAGCCGCGAGGUGGAGCCAAUCCCCCAAAGCCGGCCUCAGUUCAGAUUGCAGGCUGCAACUCGCCUGCAUGAAGCUGGAGUUGCUAGUAAACGCGCGUCAGCUAUAGUGCGUUGAAUACGUUCUCGGGCCUU